AGAACUGUGUAUGGACGUCAGU
rnacentral:miRNA from 1 species